UACAGAGGGUGCAAGCGUUAAUCGGAAUUACUGGGCGUAAAGCGCGCGUAGGUGGUUCGUUAAGUUGGAUGUGAAAUCCCCGGGCUCAACCUGGGAACUGCAUCCAAAACUGGCAAGCUAGAGUAGGGCAGAGGGUGGUGGAAUUUCCUGUGUAGCGGUGAAAUGCGUAGAUAUAGGAAGGAACACCAGUGGCGAAGGCGACCACCUGGGCUCAUACUGACACUGAGGUGCGAAAGCGUGGGGAGCAAACAGG
rnacentral:rRNA from 1 species